rnacentral:lncRNA from 1 species
AAAAGUAAUAAGGGUAUUUUGGUCAGUUUGCUGAAAAAGCGGACCGAAUCUGCAAAAACGAAAAAGGUGACCCGGUUUUACAAAAGCCCAAAAUAAGUGGAUUUUUUAUGCAAAAAGGCCUAUUAUAUUUUUCAUAAAUUUUAAAUAAUAUAAAUUUAUAUUUGAGAGUAAAAUUAGUAUUAUAGUAUCCUAUAAUUUUUUUAGUUUAUACGAAUCAAACAAUGAAAUAUGAAUAACUCAUUCCAAUUCCCAAUCCACAAAUAAACCAAACAUCUUGGGGGAGUGGGCCAUUCCAAUUACUAUUCCAAUUCAUUCCCAUUCCAUUAUCCAUUUCAAUACCACCCUUGAACCAAACAAGCCCUAAGAUUAAGCUGAGAUUCUAGUCCCAGGAGAAGUCAACUA